CUGUCUGACCGCCGCCAUCAUGGGUCGCAUGCAUGCUCCCGGGAAGGGCCUGUCCCAGUCGGCUUUGCCCUAUCGACGCAGCGUCCCCACUUGGUUGAAGUUGACAUCUGACGACGUGAAGGAGAUUUACAAACUGGCCAAGAAGGGCCUGACUCCUUCACAAAUCGGUGUGAUCCUGAGAGAUUCACAUGGUGUUGCACAAGUAUGUUUUGUGACAGGCAAUAAAAUCUUAAGAAUUCUUAAGUCUAAGGGACUUGCUCCUGAUCUUCCUGAAGAUCUCUACCAUUUAACUAAGAAAGCAGUUGCUGUUCGAAAGCAUCUUGAGAGGAACAGAAAGGAUAAGGAUGCUAAAUUCCGUCUGAUUCUGAUAGAGAGCCGGAUUCACCGUUUGGCUCGAUAUUAUAAGACCAAGCGAGUCCUCCCUCCCAAUUGGAAAUAUGAAUCAUCUACAGCCUCUGCCCUGGUCACAUAAAUUUGUCUGUGUACUCAAGCAAUAAAAUGAUUGUUUAACUUAAAAAAAAA